GACGGCGUACUCCAAUCGGCAGAGAGGGAAGAUUUAGGAUCUUCUAUGUUGCGGGUUCAAGUCCCGCCGCCGUCA
rnacentral:tRNA from 1 species